AAGGGUAUAGCUCAGUGGUAGAGUGUGUGUUUAGCAUGCGUAAGGUUCUGGGUUCAAUCCCUCGUACCUCCA
rnacentral:tRNA from 1 species